AGAGUUUGAUCAUGGCUCAGAACGAACGCUUCGGCGCGCCUAAUACAUGCAAGUCGAACGAGAAAGUACCUUCGGGUACGAGUAGAGUGGCGGACGGGUGAGGAACGCGUGGAUAACCUUCCCUUCAGCGGGGGAUAACUAUUCGAAAGAGUAGCUAAUACCGCAUAUGACCACACUCUCUGCGGAGAGAGUGGUAAAAGGCUUCGGCCACUGAAGGAUGGGUCCGCGUCCGAUUAGCUUGUUGGUGGGGUAAUGGCCUACCAAGGCUACGAUCGGUAGCUGGUCUCAGAGGAUGAUCAGCCACACUGGAACUGAGACACGGUCCAGACUCCUACGGGAGGCAGCAGUAGGGAAUAUUGCACAAUGGAGGAAACUCUGAUGCAGCGACGCCGCGUGAGCGAUGAAGGCCUUCGGGUUGUAAAGCUCUGUGAUAUGGGAAGAUAAUGACGGUACCAUAUCAGAAAGGACCGGCUAACUUCGUGCCAGCAGCCGCGGUAAUACGAGGGGUCCAAGCGUUGUUCGGAAUUACUGGGCGUAAAGCGGGUGUAGGCUGCCAUGAAAGUCGGAUGUGAAAGCCCAGGGCUCAACCCUGGAAGUGCAUCCGAUACUUCAUGGCUUGAGUACUAGAGAGGGAAGCGGAAUUCCUGGUGUAGCGGUGAAAUGCGUAGAUAUCAGGAGGAACAUCGGUGGCGAAGGCGGCUUCCUGGCUAUGUACUGACGCUCAGCCCGAAAGCGUGGGUAGCAAACAGGAUUAGAUACCCUAGUAGUCC
rnacentral:rRNA from 1 species